CUCCGCUUGCCUCCAUGAAUCUCUGAACUUUUUUGGGCUUAAUUUUUUCAUUGACUCGCUAAUUUACCAUUAUGUGUUUAGUUCAUUGAUCCCCUCUUUAAGCUUACUUCUAAAACGCAACGGACUCUGUUUUGUUUAUUUUUUUCUUGUUGUUCGUUGUUUCAGUUUUGAUGAUGUGAUCUUUUGUAUUGUUCAAUUUUGAAGAAAAUGAAGAUGAGAGUUCAAUCUUUCGGGUGGUAGAGACAUUCACGUUAAAACAAAGUCUGGCACGGUUGUGCCACUCACAUUUAAACAUGACACUUGUGAUUUCGGGCGACUGCUAGCUAAUCGGUUCACGUUAAAUCACAGUACUUAAGACUGCACG
rnacentral:lncRNA from 1 species